rnacentral:misc_RNA from 1 species
UCGUAACAAGGUCUCCGUAGGUGAACCUGCGGAGGGAUCAUUACACAAUAAACAUAUGAAGGCUGCACCGCCAACAGGCGGCAAGGCUGGAGUAUUUUAUUACCCUUGUCUUUUGCGCACUUGUUGUUUCCUGGGCGGGUUCGCCCGCCUCCAGGACCACAUGAUAAACCUUUUUUAUGCAGUUGCAAUCAGCGUCAGUACAACAAAUGUAAAUCAUUUACAACUUUCAACAACGGAUCUCUUGGUUCUGGCAUCGAUGAAGAACGCAGCGAAAUGCGAUACGUAGUGUGAAUUGCAGAAUUCAGUGAAUCAUCGAAUCUUUGAACGCACAUUGCGCCCUUUGGUAUUCCAAAGGGCAUGCCUGUUCGAGCGUCAUUUGUACCCUCAAGCUUUGCUUGGUGUUGGGCGUUUUUUGUCUUUGGUUUUGUCCAAAGACUCGCCUUAAAACGAUUGGCAGCCGGCCUACUGGUUUCGCAGCGCAGCACAUUUUUGCGCUUGCAAUCAGCAAAAGAGGACGGCACUCCAUCAAGACUCUAUAUCACUUUUGACCUCGGAUCAGGUAGGGAUACCCGCUGAACUUAAGCAUAUCAAUAAGCGGAGGAAAAGAAACCAACAGGGAUUGCCUUAGUAACGGCGAGUGAAGCGGCAACAGCUCAAAUUUGAAAUCUGGCUCUUUCAGAGUCCGAGUUGUAAUUUGCAGA